AGUGUUGAGAAUUGCCUCCCGUUGAUUCCCAACAUAAAUUAAAAUUACAAACACUGGGUAUUUCUAUAGUUUUAUUGACAAAAAUCUCAUGCUUCGCUGUGUUCUUUCCCGAAUCCCUCGCUAUGUAAACAUUCUCAACGGUAUAUUCCGGAGCUGUCCGACUGUCUGCGAGUAUACUCGCAUGUCCCACGCGAUAAUAAAAAAGCUAAAUAUAGUUUCCGACACUCUCCCCCCAUAUAGCUUCUUGAAGGUAUAUGUACUGAAAGGAAACUUAAAUAAUCUCAAUGUUACUAAUGUAAGGUCUACUAAAUGUCAUCUAUUAGAUAUAAACUUUAACGUCUCAAAAGGAUAUACUAUGUUCAAAUUCUUGUUCAAAUUUCAUCAUCGUUCGCUUGCUCUUGGAUGCGUAACCUUGCGGUGACCUCUGCCUCGCGGGUUGGUCGAAAUACUGCAGCUUCUGGAUUGAGGUUUUCACUACCGGUUGAUGGUCUUAUGUCACACGACAGUUCAAGUGGGUAGAGUAGAUUGACUGCUCUCUCUAAAUGACCGUUUCCCGUCUUUAUUUUCGCUGCUCGAACGACCCCGUCUCUUCCUGGGUAAAGUUCCUGAACCAUUCCGAGCGGCCACUUUCCUCUAUUGCGCUCUUCAGAAUAAAUUAUGACGACAUCACCCACAGCUAGGCUGAAUGGCUUCGUAUCAUGUUUUAAAUUAUGUCGUUCUCGUAAGGCUCGUAGGUACUCUUUCGUCCACCUGUUCCACAUGUGAUCUUUACAUUUCUUUAGGUAUUUCGCGCGUUUACGUAGGUCAGGAUCGGCUUCGUGGUAAUAUUCGGGUUCCGGAAGGUGGGUCGAUCCAACAAACUGCAAACUGUUCGGUGUCAAUGUUGGCAUUUGGAUAUCAUCUUCUUGGUACCCUAGAGGUCUGUUGUUCAAUGUUGUUUCAAUGUCUAGAAGGACAUCUUCGAGUUCUUUCUUGGUUAAGAAGCCAUUCCCAAUAGACUUGUACAACCCGGACUUGACCAAGCCGACCAUACGUUCGAAUUGGCCCCCCCACCAGGGGGCCCGACUUAGAUUGAACUGCCAUUUUAUUUUUUCGUUGGCCAGGAAAUGAUUGAAUUUUUCAUCUUGUUGUGCCUUCUUCAACCACUUGGCUGCCGCAACGAAGGUCUUUGCGUUGUCGGAAUAAAUCUUUUCCG
rnacentral:lncRNA from 1 species